UAAAUGAAAGCCAAAAAUGAGGCGCCUAACUGUUAACUAGGAGAUUGUAGAGUAUCUACUCAUUUAG
rnacentral:tRNA from 1 species